rnacentral:rRNA from 1 species
UACGUAGGGUGCAAGCGUUAAUCGGAAUUACUGGGCGUAAAGCGUGCGCAGGCGGUUUUGUAAGUCUGACGUGAAAUCCCCGGGCUCAACCUGGGAAUUGCGAUGGAGACUGCAAGGCUAGAAUCUGGCAGAGGGGGGUAGAAUUCCACGUGUAGCAGUGAAAUGCGUAGAGAUGUGGAGGAACACCGAUGGCGAAGGCAGCCCCCUGGGUCAAGAUUGACGCUCAUGCACGAAAAGCUGG